AUUGAACGCUGGCGGCAGGCCUAACACAUGCAAGUCGAGCGGAGCGGCUGACGGGCGAGUAAUGCAUAGGAAUCUGCCUGGUAGUGGGGGAUAACGUCCGGAUACGGGCGGUAGUACAUCACACUUUCAGUCGAGCCUAGGUCGCAUUAGCUAGUUGGUGGGGUAAAGGCUUACCAAGGCGACCAUCCGUGACUGGUCUGAGAGGAUUACCCGUCACACGGGAACUGAGAGACGGUCAAGACGCCUACGGGAGGCAGCAGUGGGGAAUUUUGGACAAUGGGCGAAAGCCUGAGACAGCCAUGCCGCGUGUGUGAAGAAGGUCUUCGGAUUGUAAAGCACUUUAAGUAGGGAAGCGUUACCAACAGAAUAAGCACCGGCUAACUACGUGCCAGCGGCCGCGGUAAUUC
rnacentral:rRNA from 1 species